CCCUUAGAUGUUCUGGGCUGCACGCGCGCUACACUGAUGCGUUCAACGAGUUUAUGACCUUGCCCGAAAGGUCUGGGUAAUCUCCAAAUUUCGUCGUGAUGGGGAUAGAUUAUUGCAAUUAUUAAUCUUCAACGAGGAAUGCCUAGUAAGCGCAAGUCAUCAGCUUGCGUUGAUUACGUCCCUGCCCUUUGUACACACCGCCCGUCGCUCCUACCGAUUGAAUGGUCCGGUGAAGCGUUCGGACCGUGGCCUUUGGACGGUUCGCCGUCUGUUGGCUGCGGGAAGUUCGUUAAACCUUAUCAUUUAGAGGAAGGAGAAGUCGUAACA
rnacentral:rRNA from 1 species